rnacentral:lncRNA from 1 species
AAGACUCUCAAGAAGGAGCUACCUCAUGUAGCAAACCACUCUGUAAGGGACCAGGCUCCAUGGCAGUUGUUGCUCAGAUGGCCAGACCCUAGACUGCUAGAGCCCUCCUGUUCAUCUCAGCUGAAGUCUGCUCCUUCUCUGAGAAGUCUCUUGUGUCCACGACUGCUGGCUCCCCUCCACCCACCUGACCCAAGUCCUGAACAAUUUGCUGUCUUAGCAGUAACAGACUAUUCAGCAUUUAUUUUGAAGAACAGUACUUUUAUGAAGUAUCAUGCAGAGCUAAUAGUCGGCACCAGUCUGGACAUCAUUGCAGGAGAAAGAUUCACUUCUCACGGAGAUGACUACUGCAGUUGCCCCAGCCUGUGUGAGGUCUCCGCGAGGGUCACUCUCCUGACAUCUUGCAGUAGUUACCUGAUAGUUGCUUCUGGUUGGAGAAUCAUACAUGAAAAUAUGCCUCUUCACUGCAAAUAAGGGCUGUUUAUAUAUCAAGUAUGUUAACUUUUAUGAUUGAAGUUACACAGUUGUAAGAUGAAUUUUUGUACAGCUAUUGCUAUUAUAAUAUAAAUACAAUACCAAUAUGUUUUUCAUGCUGUUGUAGUCAAAAUGCAAUACAAAUACUUUGAAAAUAUUCAUGGGAAAAUAUUUUGCUUUUAAAGAUGUCUGCAUUCUAUAUCUGUCUAUUUUUCCAUAGAAGUAUUAUCACUUGACUUGCAUUAAAACAUGCUAUCGUUAAAGCCCGCCUUAUGCAAGCAUCCGUGUUUGGUUCUGAUACUCAGUGGUAAAAACCUGAACUGUCCAGGCUAAUUAUUCUGUUCAGAUGACAGCGGUCCCAUGUAGUCACUUCCAUAAAUACAUUAGAAGAUGAAUGAUGCCAAGGCAAAUUUUUAUUUCACUUACAGACCCACAGUGUACCUUUUCUGUUGAUGAUCAGCAUUCCUGGGCUGUAAUUUUGGACUCUUCAUUAUCAUCAUCUCAGCUAAAACCACCACAGCAUGUGAUAUUUUUACAUAAUUAAACUUUGUCUCUAUCCUUGGCUUAUUACCCAAGCCACUGAAGUCCUUUCCAAACCCCUCAGGGCAAUGGUUAUGGAAAGAGUUCCUACAAACUGUAGGGACCAGUGGACUAUCUAUUAAGUAGGAACCAUGCCUUUUUGUGUUGGUGGUGUUGUUUUUACUGGGGAAAUUUGGUGUUUGUUGUCUAUGUCUAUAUCACUUCAGUAGUUUUGUGAUUAAACUGUCUUGAGUGCUACGUCAUGUCAAGUGCAAGUCAUUUUAACUUCUGAGGAGACUCAAAGACCAUGGUAAAGGCAGAAGGACCAUGAACUACACCAAGGUGGGAUGCAGUGCAGGCAUAAAGCAGCAUGUGCCUUAUCACCCACUGUAAGGUGUGGUCUCUGCUCACAAGGCUCAGACCAAGUGUGCCAUCUCUGACAAGGUGUUAGUAUGGGAUGUUUAAGUAUUCUUUCAGUUAA